rnacentral:lncRNA from 1 species
AUGGUUAUUUUAGUGCAAAUCGAUUGAUUUGAGAAGAUGAUGAAGAAUUUGGGGAUUUGAUGGUGGUGGUGAUUUGGGGAAGAAGAAGGGGGUGGGGUGGGACCAACCAGCUAUUUAACUCUUUUUAUAAUGGGCUGGACUGAAAGGACCAAAUUACCCUCAUGCGCCAAGCAUAUGAAUUGUUUUAACAGAGAUAUUUAACCGAAGUUAGGUCCGGUGACUUCUGACCCCCUGGUCGGAAAUCUCAAGCUUCGCCACUGCAGAUAAUGUUAUCAUGCGAUUAGUUU